UUAAGUUAAUAAGGGCGCACGGUGGAUGCCUUGGCACUAGGAGCCGACGAAGGACGUGACAAACGACGAUAUGCCUUGGGUAGCUGUAAGUAAGCGAUGAUCCAGGGAUUUCCGAAUGGGGGAACCCAACAGGUAAUACCUGUUACCUACAUCUGUUAAGGAUGUGAGGAGGAAGACGCAGUGAACUGAAACAUCUAAGUAGCUGCAGGAAGAGAAAGCAAAAGCGAUUGCCUUAGUAGCGGCGAGCGAAACGGCAGAAGGGCAAACCGAAGAGUUUACUCUUCGGGGUUGUAGGACUGCAAUGUGGACUCAAAGAUUAUAGAAGAAUGAUUUGGGAAGAUCAGCCAAAGAGAGUAAUAGCCUCGUAUUUAAAAUAGUCUUUGUACUUAGCAGUAUCCUGAGUACGGCGGGACACGUGAAAUCCCGUCGGAAUCUGGGAGGACCAUCUCCCAACCCUAAAUACUCCCUAGUGACCGAUAGUGAACCAGUACCGUGAGGGAAAGGUGAAAAGCACCCCGGGAGGGGAGUGAAAUAGAACCUGAAACCGUGUGCCUACAACAAGUUUGAGCCCGUUAAUGGGUGAGAGCGUGCCUUUUGUAGAAUGAACCGGCGAGUUACGUUAUGAUGCGAGGUUAAGUUGAAGAGACGGAGCCGUAGGGAAACCGAGUCUGAAUAGGGCGCCUUAGUAUCAUGACGUAGACCCGAAACCAUGUGACCUACCCAUGAGCAGGUUGAAGGUGCGGUAAGACGCACUGGAGGACCGAACCAGGGCACGUUGAAAAGUGCUUGGAUGACUUGUGGGUAGCGGAGAAAUUCCAAACGAACUUGGAGAUAGCUGGUUCUCUCCGAAAUAGCUUUAGGGCUAGCGUCGACAUUAGAGAUUCUUGGAGGUAGAGCACUGUUUGGGUGAGGGGUCCAUCCCGGAUUACCAAUCUCAGAUAAACUCCGAAUGCCAAUGAAUUAUGGUCGGCAGUCAGACUGCGAGUGCUAAGAUCCGUAGUCGAAAGGGAAACAGCCCAGACCACCAGCUAAGGUCCCAAAAUAAUUGUUAAGUGGAAAAGGAUGUGGGGUUGCACAGACAACUAGGAUGUUAGCUUAGAAGCAGCUAUUCAUUCAAAGAGUGCGUAAUAGCUCACUAGUCGAGUGACCCUGCGCCGAAAAUGUACCGGGGCUAAAACAAUUUACCGAAGCUGUGGAUACCUUUAUAGGUAUGGUAGGAGAGCGUUCUAUGUGUGAUGAAGGUAUACCGUGAGGAGUGCUGGAACGCAUAGAAGUGAGAAUGCCGGUAUGAGUAGCGAAAGACAGGUGAGAAUCCUGUCCACCGUAAGACUAAGGUUUCCAGGGGAAGGCUCGUCCGCCCUGGGUUAGUCGGGACCUAAGGAGAGACCGAAAGGUGUAUCCGAUGGACAACAGGUUGAUAUUCCUGUACUAGAGUAUGUAGUGAUGGAGGGACGCAGUAGGCUAACUAAAGCAGACGAUUGGAAGAGUCUGUCUAAGCAGUGAGGUGUGAAUUGAGUCAAAUGCUUAAUUCUAUAACAUUGAGCUGUGAUGGGGAGCGAAGUUUAGUAGCGAAGUUAGUGACGUCACACUGCCAAGAAAAGCUUCUAGCGUUUAAACAUACUCUACCCGUACCGCAAACCGACACAGGUAGUCGAGGCGAGUAGCCUCAGGUGAGCGAGAGAACUCUCGUUAAGGAACUCGGCAAAAUGACCCCGUAACUUCGGGAGAAGGGGUGCUGACUUAAAGUCAGCCGCAGUGAAUAGGCCCAAGCAACUGUUUAUCAAAAACACAGCUCUCUGCUAAAUCGUAAGAUGAUGUAUAGGGGGUGACGCCUGCCCGGUGCUGGAAGGUUAAGAGGAGUGCUUAGCGUAAGCGAAGGUAUGAAUUGAAGCCCCAGUAAACGGCGGCCGUAACUAUAACGGUCCUAAGGUAGCGAAAUUCCUUGUCGGGUAAGUUCCGACCCGCACGAAAGGCGUAAUGAUUUGGGCACUGUCUCAACGAGAGACUCGGUGAAAUUUUAGUACCUGUGAAGAUGCAGGUUACCCGCGACAGGACGGAAAGACCCCAUGGAGCUUUACUGCAGUUUGAUAUUGAGUGUCUGUACCACAUGUACAGGAUAGGUAGGAGUCUAAGAGAUCGGGACGCCAGUUUCGAAGGAGACGCUGUUGGGAUACUACCCUUGUGUUAUGGCCACUCUAACCCAGAUAGGUGAUCCCUAUCGGAGACAGUGUCUGACGGGCAGUUUGACUGGGGCGGUCGCCUCCUAAAAGGUAACGGAGGCGCCCAAAGGUUCCCUCAGAAUGGUUGGAAAUCAUUCGCAGAGUGUAAAGGUAUAAGGGAGCUUGACUGCGAGAGCUACAACUCGAGCAGGGACGAAAGUCGGGCUUAGUGAUCCGGUGGUUCCGUAUGGAAGGGCCAUCGCUCAACGGAUAAAAGCUACCCUGGGGAUAACAGGCUUAUCUCCCCCAAGAGUUCACAUCGACGGGGAGGUUUGGCACCUCGAUGUCGGCUCGUCGCAUCCUGGGGCUGUAGUCGGUCCCAAGGGUUGGGCUGUUCGCCCAUUAAAGCGGCACGCGAGCUGGGUUCAGAACGUCGUGAGACAGUUCGGUCCCUAUCCGUCGCGGGCGUAGGAAAUUUGAGAGGAUCUGCUCCUAGUACGAGAGGACCAGAGUGGACUUACCGCUGGUGUACCAGUUGUCUUGCCAAAGGCAUCGCUGGGUAGCUAUGUAGGGAAGGGAUAAACGCUGAAAGCAUCUAAGUGUGAAACCCACCUCAAGAUGAGAUUUCCCAUGAUUAUAUAUCAGUAAGAGCCCUGAGAGAUGAUCAGGUAGAUAGGUUAGAAGUGGAAGUGUGGCGACACAUGUAGCGGACUAAUACUAAUAGCUCGAGGACUUAUCCAA
rnacentral:rRNA from 1 species